UGUGUUAUUGCUGUAUAUGAUUACAAUAUGAAUCAGGAUCUUCAACGGCUAGUUCUCUCAACAAUGUAUUGGAAGCUCCUAAUAAAUUUCUUCUUGCAAUCCAUGGUCGCACCCACCACCGUCGACGUUUUCUUUGCUUCUUUUUUGUCAACUCUUUGAUUAAAUGAUCACAAAUUAAACGAAUUCCAAGACGUACGACUUCAUUCGGCGACAUAUUUAAAAGAAAGAACAAUGAAUGUUCAUUUCUGUAUCAUUUCGUCUAAGCCGUGUGAACAUAGAAUGAAAAAAAAAUGAAGCAUUCACUCGAGUGAACAAUCAUUCGAGUGAACCGUCUGAUAUCA